CACACAUUUACUGUUUUAUUUACUUUAUUUAAUGAACUGUAUGAAAUUAAUUGUUCUUUUGUAAUUUAUUUGUGGAACUGAAUAUCCAGCCCUUUCUCCUUCCCAGAACAUGAAAUCGCUUCGCUGUGUCACGUCUUUCGGUGUCUGUUACCAACACGCAUGGCGCCAUUCACAUGAGUUAUCUGGAUCUAAUGAGGCUGAGUGUUUCUCCCGCAGCUGAAUGUGAACCACGAUAUUAUUCUACAAACCCUGCCGGGCUGUAAACACACACACACACGCAGGAUGAACCAACCAAUUACUGAAUUAUGCAGAUGUAGAAAACAGACGAGGAUUAUAUUCUUGUUAAUUGUAUACUGGAGACGGAUCGCCGGCAGGAAGAGGAACAAACACAACUGCAGUCAGGCUGAAACUAAAUAUCUGAAUCUCCUUCAGACUGCAGGAUUCGUAUUAUUGAAACAUGAAACAAGCGAGGAUCUUUUUGAAACUGAAGGAUUUCUUUUUCUUUCUUUCUUUCUUUCUUUCUUCUGCCAAUAAAGAGCAUUUUUGUCAGUCUUAACAUGCUCGAAAACUUACAAAAAAGCAAA